rnacentral:rRNA from 1 species
UACGGAGGGUGCAAGCAUUGAUCGGAAUUACUGGGCGUAAAGGGCGCGUAGGCGGCCCAAAAAGUCAGAUGUGAAAUUCCGGGGCUCAACCCCGGAGCUGCAUUUGAAACUUUUGGGCUAGAGCGUAGUAAGGGAAAACGGAAUUCCACGUGUAGCGGUGAAAUGCGUAGAUAUGUGGAAGAACACCGGUGGUGAAGACGGUUUUCUGUGCUAUUGCUGACGCUGAGGCGCGAAAGCUAGGGGAGCAAACAGG